CUUGUACACACCGCCCGUCACACCAUGGGAGCGGGUUCUGCCAGAAGUAAUUAGCCUAACCGCAAGGAGGGCGAUUACCACGGCAGGGUUCGUGACUGGGGUG
rnacentral:rRNA from 1 species